rnacentral:tRNA from 2 species
GCCGGAGUGGCGGAAUAGGCAGACGCAGCGGGCUUAAAACCCGCUUUCGGGGCAUCCCGAAGUGGGGGUUCGAGUCCCCCCUCCGGCACCG